AUGCUUUGCUCAUCUGUAUUGGUACAAGCUAUAUCAUCCGUCAAUUUGGACAUUAGUCAUGCUUCGUUUGAAGAUUGGAUGAUUGUUGAAUUCGGAUAGCAAAAUAAGCGCAAGUGUCGAUUGGUCCUCUGUUAGUCUCUGGCAAAUUUUAGAUUUGGAUGAUUGUUGAAUUAUUUUUUUGUUGCUACGGAUAGGGUUUAUCAUACGAGCAGUUCUGAAUUCUCGGUUGCAAUUUCUUUACAUUGAGGAUACUUCUCUUCUCACAUGCUAUUCAAUUUGCAACUCUUUGUAUUUUUUCUUAUUAACAUUUCUCUUGGUAUAUCAAAGACCAAAUUGACUAUGUAAUUGUCAGUUGUACCUGCUCUGUUUAUAUAGGAUGAUGUUUGAGCA